GAUGAACGCUGGCGGCGUGCCUAAUACAUGCAAGUCGAGCGAACGGACGAGAAGCUUGCUUCUCUGAUGUUAGCGGCGGACGGGUGAGUAACACGUGGAUAACCUACCUAUAAGACUGGGAUAACUUCGGGAAACCGGAGCUAAUACCGGAUAAUAUUUUGAACCGCAUGGUUCAAAAGUGAAAGACGGUCUUGCUGUCACUUAUAGAUGGAUCCGCGCUGCAUUAGCUAGUUGGUAAGGUAACGGCUUACCAAGGCAACGAUGCAUAGCCGACCUGAGAGGGUGAUCGGCCACACUGGAACUGAGACACGGUCCAGACUCCUACGGGAGGCAGCAGUAGGGAAUCUUCCGCAAUGGGCGAAAGCCUGACGCAGCAACGCCGCGUGAGUGAUGAAGGUCUUCGGAUCGUAAAACUCUUUUAUUAGGAAAGAACAUAUGUGUAAGUAACUGUGCACAUCUUGACGGUACCUAAUCAAAAAGCCACGGCUAACUACGUG
rnacentral:rRNA from 1 species